rfam:Erinaceus europaeus unplaced genomic scaffold scaffold00143, whole genome shotgun sequence
ACACUCACCUCAGCAGCACGUAUACUAGAAUUGGAAUGGUACAGAGAAGAUUAGCAUGACCUCUGCACAGGGAUGACACAUGAAGCAUUUCAUAUUAGAAAAAUAAUA